rnacentral:misc_RNA from 1 species
AAGGAGUCUAACAUCUAUGCGAGUGUUCGGGUGUCAAACCCCUACGCGUAAUGAAAGUGAACGGAGGUGGGAGCUUCGGCGCACCAUCGACCGAUCCUGAUGUCCUCGGAUGGGUUUGAGUAAGAACAUAGCUGUUGGGACCCGAAAGAUGGUGAACUAUGCCUGAAUAGGGUGAAGCCAGAGGAAACUCUGAUGGAGGCUCGCAGCGGUUCUGACGUGCAAAUCGUUCGUCAAAUUUGGGUAUAGGGGCGAAAGACUAAUCGAGCCAUCUGGUAGCUGGUUCCUGC